CUUGUUCAAAACUAUCAUUUAGGCCCAUCAAAAAUUGGAACAAUCUCUGAAACUCCAAUUGUUCAACAUAGUCUUUAACUGGUGGUGGUGGCAAUAUAGCAUCAUACUCUGCCCAUAGAUCUGUUAACUUUGUGAAAUAAAAUGAAAUAGACGAAAUCUCCUGUGUUGAAGUGAAUAUUUCUUUGUGCAAGUAGUAAAGUCUUGAAGCAUUCACUUUAUCAAAAUGUUCUUUAAGUCGUGGCCAAACUAUUUGAGCAUUUUCUGAGAACAAAACACCAAUAAGGAGAUGUGAGUUAACGUUGCUCAUCAGCCAUGAAGUAACAGUGGCAUUGAAACAAUUCCAUUAAUGAGCUAAUCCAGAUCCAAAAUCACCUUUCGAGGUGGUACAGUCAACUAAGCACAAGUUUUUCUUUCCUAAGAGGGCUACUUUCAUAGCUCGACUCCA
rnacentral:lncRNA from 1 species